rnacentral:rRNA from 1 species
AUUGAACGCUGGCGGCAGGCUUAACACAUGCAAGUCGAACGAGUGGCGGACGGGAGAGUAAUGCUUGGGAAUCUAGCUUAUGGCGGGGGAUAACUACGGGCAACUGUAGCUAAUACCGCGUACCAUAGGAUGAGCCCAAGUGGGAUUAGGUAGUGGGUGGGGUAAAGGCUCACCAAGCCGACGCUCUCUAGCUGGUCUGAGAGGAUGACCGGCCACACUGGGACUGGGACACGGCCAAGACGCCUACGGGAGGCAGCAGUGGGGAAUAUUGCGCAAGGGGGGAAACCUGACGCAGCAAUGCCGCGUGAAUGAAGAAGGCCUUCGGGUUGUAAAGUUCGUUCGGUAGCGAGGCGUUAACUACAGAAGAAGCACCGGCUAACUCCGUGCCAGCCGCCGCGGUAAUUC